rnacentral:rRNA from 1 species
CAGUAGCCGCGGGAAUACGUAGGGUGCGAGCGUUAAUCGGAAUUACUGGGCGUAAAGCGUGCGCAGGCGGUUUUGUAAGACAGGCGUGAAAUCCCCGGGCUCAACCUGGGAAUGGCGCUUGUGACUGCAAAGCUAGAGUGCGGCAGAGGGGGAUGGAAUUCCGCGUGUAGCAGUGAAAUGCGUAGAUAUGCGGAGGAACACCGAUGGCGAAGGCGACUACCCGGUCUGGCAUUGACGCUCAUGUGCGAAAGCGUGGGGAGCAAACAGGAUUAGAUACCCCGGUAGUCCCUGUCUCUUAUAC